rnacentral:rRNA from 1 species
GAUGAACGCUGGCGGCGUGCCUAAUACAUGCAAGUCGAGCGAAUGGAUUAAGAGCUUGCUCUUAUGAAGUUAGCGGCGGACGGGUGAGUAACACGUGGGUAACUUGCCCAUAAGACUGGGAUAACUCCGGGAAACCGGGGCUAAUACCGGAUAACAUUUUGAACCGCAUGGUUCGAAAUUGAAAGGCGGCUUCGGCUGGCACUUAUGGAUGGACCCGCGUCGCAUUAGCUAGUUGGUGAGGUAACGGCUCACCAAGGCAACGAUGCGUAGCCGACCUGAGAGGGUGGUCGGCCACACUGGGACUGAGACACGGCCCAGACUCCUACGGGAGGCAGCAGUAGGGAAUCUUCCGCAAUGGACGAAAGUCUGACGGAGCAACGCCGCGUGAGUGAUGAAGGCUUUCGGGUCGUAAAACUCUGUUGUUAGGGAAGAACAAGUGCUAGUUGAAUAAGCUGGCACCUUGACGGUACCUAACCAGAAAGCCACGGCUAACUACGUGCCAGCCGCCGCGGUAA